rnacentral:rRNA from 1 species
GACGAACGCUGGCGGCGUGCUUAACACAUGCAAGUCGAACGGAAAGGCCCUGCUUUUGUGGGGUGCUCGAGUGGCGAACGGGUGAGUAACACGUGAGUAACCUGCCCUUGACUUUGGGAUAACUUCAGGAAACUGGGGCUAAUACCGGAUAGGAGCUCCUGCUGCAUGGUGGGGGUUGGAAAGUUUCGGCGGUUGGGGAUGGACGCGCGGCUUAUCAGCUUGUUGGUGGGGUAGUGGCUUACCAAGGCUUUGACGGGUAGCCGGCCUGAGAGGGUGACCGGACACAUUGGGACUGAGAGAGGGCCCAGACUCCUACGGGAGGCAGCAGUGGGGAAUAUUGCACAAUGGGCGGAAGCCUGAUGCAGCAACGCCGCGUGCGGGAUGACGGCCUUCGGGUUGUAAAACGCUUUCGCCUGUGACGAAGCGUGAGUGACGGUAAUGGGUAAAGAAGCACCGGCUAACUACGUG